rnacentral:tRNA from 1 species
GCUGUUGUAGCUCAGGGGUAGAGCACUUCCUUGGUAAGGAAGAGGUCGUGAGUUCAAAUCUCAUCAACAGCUCGA